rnacentral:rRNA from 1 species
UACAGAGGGGGCAAGCGUUGUUCGGAAUUACUGGGCGUAAAGGGCGCGUAGGCGGCCCGCUAAGUCGAACGUGAAAUCCCCGAGCUCAACUCGGGAACUGCGUCCGAUACUAGCGGGCUUGAAUCCGGGAGAGGGAUGCGGAAUUCCAGGUGUAGCGGUGAAAUGCGUAGAUAUCUGGAGGAACACCGGUGGCGAAGGCGGCAUCCUGGACCGGCAUUGACGCUGAGGCGCGAAAGCUAGGGGAGCAAACGGG